rnacentral:rRNA from 1 species
GACGAACGCUGGCGGCGUGCUUAACACAUGCAAGUCGAACGGACAGGCCAUGCUUUUGUUGGGUGCUCGAGUGGCGAACAGGUGAGUAACACGUGAGUAACCCGCCCUUGUCUUUGGGAUAACUCCAGGAAACUGGGGCUAUAAUCGGAUAGAAGCUACUGCUGCACGGGGGGGGUUGGAAAGUUUCGGCGGUUGGGGAUGGACUCGCGGCUUCUCAGCUUGAUGGUGGGGUAGUGGCUUACCAAGGCUUUGAGGGGUAGCCGGCCUGGGAGGGCUACCGGCCACAUUGGGACUGAGAGACGGCCCAGACGCCUACGGGAGGCAGCAGUGGGGAGUAUGGCACAAUGGGGGGACGUGAGAUAUAGCAACGUCGCGUGCGGGAUGACGGCCUUCGGGGUGUAAACCGCUGUGGACGGUGACGAAGAGUGAGUGACGGUAAUGGGUAAGGAAGCACCGGCUAACUACGUG